GGCUGGCUGUUCGCCAGCC
rnacentral:misc_RNA from 1 species